CACGUGCCAUGACUGCUUUUGUCUCAGAGAGCAACUAGUAGGUUAAACCAAAUAUAAUUGCCAACACUUGACAGAUUUUAACUUGCAACUGUGGCAACUUCAUGUGACUCAACCUAAUACUCUGGCCUCCCUCAGUGAGCUCGGUUUCAAUUCCUCAUUCCCUUUGUGGACUUCCAACUGCCUCAGUGGUUCUCAGUCUUGGCCACAUGGUAGAAUCACCUGGAGAGCUUUUGAAAACUGAACGCCCGGGCCACACGCAGGACCAGACUCUGGAGGAGGAGCCCAGUAUUCGGCAGGUUUGGGAAACACCCUGGUAGUCUAAUGUGGGGUCAGGCUGGAGCACACAGAGCUACUCAGAGCUUUUGGCAGCACCCAGUUCUGUGUCAUGGAUUCCUUCCACCUGGUUGAAAGAUGUGGCCAACUGUGAUGAAAGAUUGGGGAAUCGCUGCGGCAACCCUGAGGCUUAUGAACUCAUAGAUGGCUGGGCCCGACCCCCAGAGUGUCUGGAAUGGCACCCGAGAAUCUGCAUUUCUAACAAGGUCCCAGGUGAUGCUGAUGCUGCUGGUUCAGGAUCCACACUUUGAGAACCACUGCACUGUUACUGUCUUCCAUGGGCUACGUGCCUACCUCAUAGUAGGUCUUUCACGAAUGUUUGUUGGAAAGAUAAAUUGGAUAACUGUGGCAGAAGGAAAGCUGGUGGUUUCUCUGUGCUGGAUGCUGGGGACGUUGCCAUGACAAGACAAACCACCUCUGUCCUCAUGGAGCCUAUGCUCAGGGAGAAAUACAAAACUUCCAGGUGGUGGGACUUCCAAGUGGAGGACACAUUGCUCCCAUGCAGAAUGCUCCCUCCGAGGGAAACGAUGGUGACACAGAAUGGCGAGAUGGACGACAGUGCUGUCCCAGGGGUGCACAUGCAGGAUGGAGCCCCAGUCCAAUGUCUGCCCCAUCAAGCCAACCGCCCCACCACCAAGGGCAGCUUUCGAAAACAGAAACACUUCCUCGAAACUUCCCUGGUCCCCACAGUAUGGCAGUGGUCCCCAAGCCGGGGGGCCCAUCAGAGCUGUCUGGACACGACCUCACCCUAAACCUUCAGAAACAGAGUUCUCGGGGCAGACACGAAAAGGAAAUCUGCAUUUAUACUUACUUUGCCAGUCCUCCAGCUUUUUGGAAUCAGAGAAAUGACUCCAACCAUCAUAAAAGAACUCAAGCUUCCACGAUAUAUAUUUCCAAAGGACUGUCCUUUCUUUCCUAACUUCCUCUGAGGAGUCCUGGUCUGAAGGGGUCUGGUCUGAGAUUCUCCUUGUCUUUUCUUUCUCCCGUCACCCCAACUCUGAGCUCCUGCCCUCCACCUUUUCAUCAUCAGCUUGGUGGUCUCCCUGUCUUGUCUUUGUUUCAAUUGAUCCUCUUCCUUCUUUCCCCAGGGCAUCACCACCACCAGGGUGACACUAAUUAGUGGUUAAUAAAGCUUAACUAAUGACAUGGGAACACUGAAGACUGGACUGGAGAUUAGGUAGCAUGCACCAUCAAACGGCACUCCUCCUGAAAUAACUUUGCCCUUCCCGCGGUUAGAGAAGUAAUGGAUGGAGGUCACCGUCCUUAUGCCCUGACCUUGCCUGCUCCUGCCCCAGAGAGCCUUCUCCCAUCGCCUCUCUCCCCUCUACCCCAGGUCCAAGUUCCUUCCUGCUAUCAACUCAAUGUUGGUGCUUCC
rnacentral:lncRNA from 1 species